CAAUAUUAAUUAAAUAGCCUUCAUAACUAAAGAUAAUACAAUAAAUACAUAAAUCUGUUUCAUAUUAAGCAUAGAUCAAUCCUUUUAAAGAAAUUAAUUUUACUCGAGACAAAAUAUUAUCCGGGUGUUUUUCAAAAACCGCGCGCAUUUUUCAGUCAGUCACAUCCGCCCCUCCCCCACAGCUCACAGUCACUGGAUCACAGCCGGACGGCUCGCGACGCCGUCACGGAAAAUAACAGCUGGACACAGACAAACGAGUCCCGCGAAUUGUAUUUUUAAACUGGAGAGACGGCUGACAUGAUGUCAUCUGUAACCGUCACUCGCCACAGUUCUCAAGCAAAGCAAAGACAUAUUCUCUGUAUUACAAUGCCUUUAAACUUUUAGUUAAUCAUUAUUAUCCGCUUUGUCAGUUUCAUCUAGAAUAUUCAUGUGAUGCUGAUCAAGUUUACUAAAUCCGCCGAACGCAGUGAACAAAGGGGCUGAGGAGCAUUUAUAAUGACUGUUUUGUUAACUUUAGUUAACAUUUUACACUGUUAUUUGCUCCUCACUGUCUUUCUCAAAAUUCAUACUAACAAAUUGUUGUCAUGCUUUUGAAAUCAAUCUUUUCAGAGCAAAGGCAGCGAGGGGUGGCGUGAUGUCAUUUGCAACAAGACGGCUGAUACUAAUAUGAGCCUAAAAUAAAGGACAAUAAUGGCAUCAGCCAUUCAAGUUAUGAUCCUGGCAGAUCUACUACUAUCUGAAAAGUAGUCUCUGCAGAUUGUUUCAAGAUACACAAGAUGGAGCGUGGAGAGACGGGACAUGGACCACAGUUUUCAGCACCCACACCCCACACUCAAAUUCAUAUAGAAGUUCUCAAUUAUUAAAUGUUAAUUUCAUAGUUUAUAUUUAGCUGUGAAGUUAUAGUUCAUUGUCAUAAAUAUUAAACUAAUUAUUAUUAUUAUUAUUAUUAUUAUUUUACAUGAUAUGCAAAUUUCACCAAUUUGUUUAAUGUGUUAAUUAACUUUUUGAAAGUGAUUAUCUUUAAUAAUUCAGAUACCUGUUGAAAUGCACAUGUAAUUAUAUACUUGCUCGUAUCUGGAAGGUUGUGUUAAUAAAAAUGAUGUUGAA